rnacentral:rRNA from 1 species
GAUGAACGCUGACAGAAUGCUUAACACAUCAGCAAUUGAUUGGUGGCGGACGGGGGAGUAACGCGUAAAGAACUUGCCUCACAGGUAGGGACAACAUUUGGAAACGAAUGCUAAUACCUAAUACUGUGAGAGAGCUUUGGGUCCCAUGCGCUAGUUGGGGAGGUAACGGCUCACAAAGGCGAUGAUGGGUAGCCGGCCUGGGAGGGAGAUCGGCCACAAGGGGAUAGGGACACGGCCCUUACUGAUACGGGAGGCAGCAGUGAGGAAUAGUGGACAACGGACCAAAGUCUGAUCCAGCAAUUCUGUGUGCACGAUGAAGUUUUCGGAAUGUAAAGUGCUUUCAGUUGGGAAGCGGUACCAACAGAAGAAGUGACGGCUAACUACGUGCCAGCAGCCGCGGUAAUUC